GGCGAAAUGGUCGAGUGGUUAAGACGUUGGUUUUAGACACCAAUAUCUUUAGAUGCGUGGAUUCAAAUCCCAUCUUCGUCA
rfam:Strongyloides venezuelensis genome assembly, scaffold: SVE_contig0000013